GGUGGGGGCAUCUAUUAAAAGAGAAGUGAGGCUGGUAUCCACAAUGCCUGUUGGAUCUCAGUAGGCACACUCAACCAGGAUGCCGGAGCCAACUAAAAAAGCUGCUCUUCCUGAGAGUCAUCAACCUGACACAAGGCAGGACCUCACUGGUCUCUUCACAGAGAAGCCUCAGAGUGGUGGAGGUGACUGUGGGUGAGAACAUUGCCUUUGUUGAAAGUGGAUGGAUCUGGCCAGCAAGUCAGGAAAGCACCUGCAGCUCAAAGAGCACUAUGACCGCAAUACGAAGGUGUACACAUUCGACAUGCAUAUCAUUGCAGCUAAAGCUAAAUUUGCUGGAGCAUAUCGCUGUGAGGUGUCAUCGAGGGACAAAUUUGACAGCUGUAAUUUUGACCUUGUAGUACAUGUAGCACAGAUGCAGGAGAUGACGCAGGAGAUCUGAACUUCAGUGCUUUAUUGAAAAAGAGAGCUGUUCAUGUGAAUACAGAGCCUGGUGUAGACGUAUGGGACAUCCUACAGAAGGCCCCACCCUCCAAGUAUGAAAAGAUUGCCUUCCAGUAUGGGAUUACAGACCUAAGGUGGAUGCUUAAGAGACUCAAAAAAAUUAAAAAGGAAGAGAAGAAAAGUGCAGCAUUUCUUAGGAAGCCUAUCAGGUUGAAAAGGUGCACAAGAUCAAACUGCAAAUUGAGGUGGCUAAUGCAGAUGCAGAGGUUAAAUGGUUAAAAAAAAAUGGUCAAGAGAUUCAACUAACAGGAAGGUAUCUACUUGGAAAGGCAUCUUUUGAUUUGCUCUUAUUUUAUUAAAAAUAUAAUUGUUUAUCACAAAUAACUGUCUAUUUCUUUGACGCUUGACAACACUGUGCUUAUGGAUUGAUGGACUGCCCUUCCUGCUCUUCACUAUCAACUCAAGCAAAUACAUCUUUGAGAGUAUUGGAAACAAACGCUUCCUCACCAUCAACAACUGUACUCUGGCAGAUGAUGCUACUACAGCUGCGUGGUUGGGGAAGAGAAGAGCUUCACUGAGCUCUUCGUUAAAGGAAAUUUAUCUUUCACAGAUGGAGGUCACUGAGAGAAGGAAAGAGAAAAGAGAAUAGCAGCUUCUACACAUCUAUGAAAUCUAUAAUGAUGCUUGAGCUUAUUUGUCAAAUAUUCUUUCCUCUUGGUUCUGUUUGUACCUUUCAGAGCCUCCUGUCCUGAUCUUGCUUAAUUUAGAGGAUCUGAUGGUAAUGAAAUGAGAGAGUGGAGUUUGAGUGUGAAGGGGCUCAGGUGAAAUGAUAAGCCUGUCAACACACAAAGAACAAGCACAAAAUAUGGACCCACUUAAUAUUAGGUGCCUUUACUGUGUACGGAAGCAUUUGAUACAAGGGAGAAAGAUGUGUUGAACGCACUCGAGAUGAGUCUUUCAAGAACCGCGUUAAGAAAUAUGGAUGUAAGCAUGCCCUUAUCAUUAAUGAUGUGACCAAAGAGGACUGUGGACACUACCUGGUGAAAACCAAUGGAGGCCAAUUUUUAGCAGAGCUCAUGGUUCAAGAAGCAGCUAGAGGCCUAUCAAAGCAUUGCUGACCUGACAGUGAAGGCCAAAGAUCAGGCUCUGUUCAAGUGUGAGGUUUCUGAUGAAAAUAUGAAAGGCCUCUGGUACAAGAAUGGAGUGGAGGUGAAGCAUGAUGCCAGAACACAUAUCACACACAUGUGGCAGGUGUGUGUGAGUUGGAGAGGAAUGCUCUAGGAUUCAUAAGCUCACCAUUGAUGAUGUGAAGCCAGAGGAUGAGGAGUUCAAGAUUGACUAUUGACUCGACAAGAUCCUCCCAAGAUUCACCUGGACUGCAUGGGUCACACAGCUGAGUCCACUAUCUUGGUUGUAGCAGGAAACAAACUGCGACUUGAUGUACCAAUUACAGGAGAUCCUGCCCCCACUGUGGACUAUUUGGACUAAAUCAGAAAAGGAGAUCCAGCUUGUGGGCUUCUGAGCUUAGACGCCUUGACAGGUAGGCAACAUAUCCCAGCCUUAACCAGAAAGUCUGUUGCAGUUCAGUGGGACUUGGAGGUUUGUGCUGAGAUGGGAGGUUGACGGUUUAGUUUCUCACACUAAACAUUUGUCCUGGUUGCCAUGGCUUCACAGCUUCUGCUUUGCUCAUGUAGGAUAGCUCUAAGGAGGGAGAGUUGCAUCCUGAACCAAUGCACACAUGGGCGCUGAAGAGCGGUGAAGUGAGUUUGGGCCUUAAAAAUAAUAACACCAACGUGACACCAUGUGCUUCAUGCUCUGGCUGUGAUGCUGGAUGUCUUUUUAAUGACUCAUGUUGCAUGGUGAUGCAGUCUUGGUCAAUUUAAUCCAGGGAAAUGCUUCACGGAACUAAUGUUCAUAUAUUUGCUUGUCAGUAUUUAUUUCUUUGUUUUUAAAUUUAUAAUUUGCUCUUAUUGAUUGUUUAGUGCGGUCCUUAUCUACGUUAGCUGUAGUUUGUCUUUCCCUGGGUACAAAGGAAAACAAGCUGAUCUUACAUUAACACAAGCAUCAAUUUGAAACACAAAAUAAGUGACACUGCUACAAAAAAAUCAAGUGUUUCAUGCACACUACAUACAACUCUGUAGCCUACUGUGUCAACCAGGUGAAUUACUCUUUCAUGAAGUUUAUAUGGAAUGAGGUUUGAACAUAAGAGCUAAGCACCAUCCAUUCAUAGGAACUAGGGGAGGUAAAGAACAGGUAAUGUAUAACAGCUGAGAUUUCAUAUAUCAGUGGGAUCUAAGGGUGUUUUGGCAUUUACAAGUACUCUUUGAUCUGUUCUGGAUUGUCUGGGUUUUGAUUAGUAAGAUUAGCUGAAUGUGAAAAGCUUUUGACUGAUCCAGAGUGACGUCAUAAAUCUAUUGUUGAAUUCUUUUUUUAACAAGUGGUUGUGAUUGGUGGAUCAGGUGCUGACAGACACAGAUGGGUGUGUCCAUGUGGAGAGGACCAAAGGCCAUUGCAUCUUUACCAUUGUGGGGGCGGAGCGUCAGGAUGAGGGCAUGUACUCUGUCAUUGUUCGGAAUCCUGCUGGAGAGGAUACAGCUGAC